rnacentral:rRNA from 1 species
GGACUACCGGGGUAUCUAAUCCCGUUCGCUCCCCUAGCUUUCGCGCCUCAGCGUCAGAAGAGGUCCAGCACGCCGCUUUCGCCACCGGCGUUCCUUCCGAUAUCUACGCAUUUCACCGCUCCACCGGAAGUUCCGCAUGCCCCUGCCUCCCUCGAGACAACCAGUAUCGGAGGCACGUUUCCAGUUAAGCUGAAAGAUUUCACCCCCGACUUGAUUGUCCGCCUACGCGCCCUUUAAGCCCAGUGAAUCCGAACAACGUUCGCACGGUUCGUCUUACCGCGGCUGCUGGCAC